rnacentral:rRNA from 1 species
UACGGAGGAUGCAAGCGUUAUCCGGAAUCAUUGGGCGUAAAGCGUCCGCAGGUGGCACCUCAAGUCUGCUGUCAAAGACCGGGGCUUAACCCCAGAAAGGCAGUGGAAACUGAAGUGCUAGAGUGCAGUAGGGGUAGAGGGAAUUCCCGGUGUAGCGGUGAAAUGCGUAGAGAUCGGGAAGAACAUCGGUGGCGAAAGCGCUCUGCUGGACUGCAACUGACACUCAGGGACGAAAGCUAGGGGAGCGAAUGGG